GAUGAACGCUGGCGGCGUGCUUAACACAUGCAAGUCGAACGGAAAGGCCUGUACUUGUACAGGUACUCGAGUGGCGAACGGGUGAGUAACACGUGGGUGAUCUGCCCUGCACUAUGGGAUAAGCUUGGGAAACUGGGUCUAAUACCAUAUAGGACCACUUCUUGGAUGUUGUGGUGGAAAGCUUUUGCGGUGUGGGAUGAGCCUGCGGCCUAUCAGCUUGUUGGUGGGGUAAUGGCCUACCAAGGCGGCGACGGGUAUCCGGCCUGAGAGGGUGUACGGACACAUUGGGACUGAGAUACGGCCCAG
rnacentral:rRNA from 1 species